GCUGUUUGUAUUAAAAAAACGCCGUCAGUUUUAGCUUUUUAAUGAGAUAUGUAUACUGCAGUUUCAAUCUUACAGUUUGUGUAAAGGUGAAAUUUUUAACAAGCAAACAGCUGAAAGUAUUUCAUCACUUCUGUUCCUGUCUCAUCUAUAGGGGUGCAGAGCUGCUAAAACCUCUGUGAAUAACAACAGCCACGGCUGGCCUUUUCCCGGUCUGCGCUGGGUCACAGGGAAGGACCGUCUGUCAGGAUUCAACUUGUUUGCUCUCACUGGUGGACAUGGCCGCAGCUCCAGCCCGGAGAAAGGCGCAGAGGAGAUGGAAGAGCCGUCUGAUGAUUACAGCUUAGGUCAUUUCUCAGAGCUGGAGGGAGCAGGACGCAGACCUAAGCCUCAGUGGGGAGAAAACGGCCAUGACAGGAAACUUCAGAGAUACAAAACUCAGCGCCUGGUGACCCAUCUCCACAGAGACACGGCCCAUGACCCAGAGUGCCAUACCAGCUCGGAGAGGCUCAGCCAUCCGGCUGUGUCAGAGCAGCCCUGUUCCCAAAAAUCAGUCGUUUCACAUGUACCAUUAAGAGUAAGAGUACAGACAGCUAAUCAGCCGCAAAUUCAUCAAGCACCUAGAGAUUACGAUAGAGAUGCAGACAAGGAGGUGGCGGGAAUGACAGGACUGUAUUAUUAGGCUCCUCCCAAACUUAACUUUAGAAUUUUUUGUUACAAAGUGACAUAUUUGGUUUCUGUGAAUUUAUAAUUAUUGAAAACAUAAUUUACUCAUGCUUGACUGAACUGCUUGCCUGGCAUGCAUAUAAUUACAUUUGCAUACUAUUACAGUUCAUUUUUGUGCCCUUUGUCUCUUGAUCUCUUGUAAAAACAAGCAGAAAGAGCAGCUCUAAAUUGCACAUCAUGCAUUUUAGAAUGGGGUGAGCCUCUCGUAAAAUUAAUGAACAUUUCAACUAGUCUCAGUGGUUUCUAUUAAAUGACUUUGUAAUUUAUAUGUCUGAUUUAAGUUAGACUCUGAUUGUAUUAGUAUAAGGUGAGGUAGAUGAUUCUGCCCUAAUUCAUUUUGUAAUAAAGCUCUGCUGGAGUUUGACUCUUGGGGUGAUGGUGUUUUCUGUCCCUCCAGCUACAGAUCAAAGUGAACGGACAGAGAGGAGGACUGGGAAUUUGUAUUGCUGGAGGGAAAGGCUCCUUGCCGUACAAACACAAUGAUGAGGUAGGCCUUAUCUUCCUGUAGCUCCACCAUCUGAAUCUCUUUACACGCUAUUACUAUCAUGCUCCUGUGGGUCUAUUUACAAUAAAAUAUACACAAGGACUGGGAUACUAACGUGCAUCCAGCCAGCAAUUCCACUGAUGAUAUGAGUGUGCCUGAUUUCCUUCCCCCAUAACUAGUCAUUUCCUUCUGGACACUGAUUGAUUUGUUUUCUUUGUGUCAGGGUAUUUUCAUCUCCAGAGUGUCUACAGGCGGACCGGCGGAGAAGGCUGGGGUUCAUGUUGGGGACAGAGUGCUGGAGGUAAAUCAUAAUGUACUGUUUCACAAUACAUUAAGGAAGCAUGGGUACAACUGGGAAUACUUGCCUUCAAAGAUACAAUUAUUAACUAUUGAUUGUGUGUGUGUUUGUGUGUGUGUGUGUGUGCCCUGUUAUUCCCUAUGUAAUGGGAACCAAAUUUCUCCACAAGGAUAGCACACAUGAAUUUGAGCAUUGUACUGCAUAUGUAUUUCUCCUGCUGCUUGACCUUAUCAGAAUGGAUGCAGUUGUUUCUCUGAUGACCAUUAGAGGGCAUCAUCACACAGAUGCUGUUGAACAGUUUUUGUGACCCCAUGAGCCUUAAUGCAACAGGCCAAGCAGCAUUGUGGGGAAAAAGCAUUUGGACAUGCAAGUCACACUUACAGUUGUAUUGAUGUCACUGCAUUAAAGCAAGACAGCACAAUAAUUAUUUUUUUUCCAAACAAAAUAUUUCACUAAAAGAAGUUUGUUACAUGUCAGUUUGAGAUAUUUUCUCUUAUCUUAGUUUAUAUGCAGUUGCAGCUAGCCAUUCACAGGUUUAAAGUGAAAAAAGUGAAAGUCGUGACAUUUGCCAAGUAUGGUAACCCAUACUCGGAAUUGGUGCUCUGCAUUUAACCCAUUCCAAGUGCACACACACAGCAGUGAGAAGUGAACACACCGUGAAGCUCAAGGGCACUUCAGCCAUGGGUAUUGAGGGUGGAAGAGAGCGCUGUUCAUUCACUCCCCACCCACCUACAACUCCUGCCAGCACCGAGACUCAAACCUGUGACCUUCUGGUUACAAGUCCAACAAUCUAAUCAUUAGCAACUACUGCUGCCCCUUUAUUUUCCUUAAAGGUGUUCACGCUGUGGUUCUGUGCUGCUUUCAACACACAAUCCCAAAACAUUCAGCGGAGUCCAGUGACUAUCCUGAGCUGUAAAUCAAAGGCAGCAGACAAGGGGAAGGAAAAUAAACAUUAGUCUUUUUCACGCUGAUUAGGGCUCACUAAAAUUGAGGUACUGGUAAAAACAUCUACUAUAAUCAAAGAAGUUUUUUUUUUGUUAGUAUUUAUAUAUUCUAUCCUGAGCUGUAAAUCAAAGGCAGCAGACAAGGGGAAGGAAAAUAAACAUUAGUCUUUUUCAC
rnacentral:lncRNA from 1 species